rfam:Pongo abelii chromosome 17, whole genome shotgun sequence.
CUCCAGGGCAACCGUGGCUUUCGAUUGUUACUGUGGGAACUGGAGGUAACAGUCUACAGCCAUGGUCGCCCCGCAGCA